UAUAAAUCUAAACAAUUUAAAUUGUGAAUUCUAAAUCUUAUAUUUUUUUUCUCAAAAUAAUUCAUAUUAACGAAAAUUUAUCAUAAAUAUUUUUUUAAUAUUAAAAACAAAAUAGAAUAAGUAAUCAAUGGUGUUAAAAAAAGAAUAGGAAAACAAAUACAUAACAUCUGAUUGGUCAACAGAAAGUAGCCUAUCACAUAGAAGGGUGAGGAUCAUGCUUUGUGUAACCACAACCAUUGAUAAAAAUGAAUCCAACGGACCACAAUGCACUAAGAUAAAAAAAAUACACUUUUUCUUCUCAUCUCUUUCUUUCUUCCUCUCCUCUGACUUCUUCGUAUCCUCUAAUCUAUCUCUCAAUAUGCCGGGAAAUCGGCUAAUUCCUACAUCAACAAGGGUCAACGGUCCCGAUCAGUACAUAAACAUGUUACCUGUGCGAAAACAUACAUCAACUAGUACAAAAUUUAAUUUUCAUACAUGAACUUUCAAAAUUUGGUUUUAUCAUACAUUGACCUAAUUUCCGUUAGUCAAACGUUGAGUUGUCGUUAACCGGUAAUAGAAAACCGGCUAAUUCCUACAACAACAGGGACCAAUGAUACAUAUCAGUACAUAAACACUUUACUUGUGCAAAAAUAUACAUCAAUUAAUACAAAAUUCAAAUUCAAUACAUGAACUUUUGAAAUCUGGUUUUAACAUACGCUAAAGCUUGAUAUUUACCUAACUUCAACUAGUCAAAUAAUAUCGAAGAUAAAUUGUCUGUCACGUAUUGAUUAAGUAAGGUUUUUAAUGUAUUAUGUGGUAAUUAAACUGUAUUACGCGGUAAUUGAAUGAGAAAAAUAAAUCAUGUAUGUCAAACGAUUUUUUUUUGUGUGUAAUUUAUUAGUUAGUUUUUCUCUUUAAUUUUUUCUUCAACUUUUACGACAACAGAAAACACUAACACCGAAAAAAUGAAAGAAGACAAAAUUGAACAAAGAGAAAAGAGAAUGUCUUCGAUAAGCUAAACAUUUUCAUUUCUCUCUGUAAAUUACUACGUACUAUGGUUUAAUUAUCACAUAAUACAAUAAAAACUUUACUUAAUCAAUACAUGACAUACCAUUUAUUUUCGGUAUUAUUUGACUAGUGGAAAUUAGGUAAAUCUAUUUUAUUAAAUUUAAUUACAAAAUAAAACUAACAUUAUUUUCAACAGAUUUAUUACAUCUUUUCUUUCCUUAUUUUCACUCAACUUAACUACUGUAUUAAUUGCAUUUUUUUCAAAUAAUUUGACAGCAUGUCUUAUAAAAAUAUAAAACAGAACUUACCUAUUUUUAAGUGUUUUAUCAUAUCUUUUACAUUUUUUAUACUUCUUAACUACUUCAUUAAGAUAUGGAUAUCAAGUAUACGGUUGGGUAUGGAUUGGUUCUUUCGGAUAUCGAAUUUUUUUAGGUUUUGAAAUUAUGCUUUGUUCGGGUAUUAUAAAAUUUUGGGUGAGAUUCGAAUAGGGUCUUUCAGAUCCGGAUGGCUUUGGUUUUUAUGUAUAGGAACAUAAUAAUUAACAAAAAUUUAUAUAUUUAGGAAUGUCACUAAACAAUUUAUAAAAAAAUUAACAACAAAUAUCCGCACGGACGCGCAUGUCAAGCUUUAGUGUAUGUUAAAAACAGAUUUCGAAAGUUCAUGUAUUGAAUUUAAAUUUUGUAUUAGUUGAUGUAUGUUUUUGCACAGGUAAAGUGUUUAUGUAUUGAUCUGGACCAUUGAUCACUGUUGAUGUAGGAAUUAGCCGAUUUUCUGUUACUGGUUAACGACAGCUCAACGUUUGACUAACAUAAAUUAAGUCAAUGUAUGAUAAAACUAAAUUUUGAAAGUUUGCGUAUGAAAAUUAAACUUUCUAGUAGUUGAUGUAUGUUUUCGCACAGGUAACAUGUUUAUGUACUGAUCGGGACCGUUGGUCCUUGUUGAUGUAGGAAUUGGCCGAUUUCCCCUCAAUAUGCCUCCUCCGUGAAUCUAAACUGUCUCAACAGCCAACACCAUCACCUCCGACAGAAGUAUCUCAAUUUCCACCUCCUCGUUCUCCACUUCUUUACCUGAUUACUCUUUUUAUUUUUUCUAUUCUCAAAGUUUUCCUUUUUUCAGAUGCAGAUUUAAAACAAGAAGAAGAUAGGAAACAGAUCGGGAGGGAGGAGUCUGAAGAAGCUUGACAGCAGAGGAGGUAGAAGAAUCGUGAUGGUGGAGGAAUAAAAAGCCUGACGGCGGAGAAGGCAUGGCCAGCAUAUAAGUUCGUCGCUCAGCCGUAACACCGGUGGCUCUACCACCAGAUUGAGUCUUCGCUUCAGCCAUGGCAUUCGGAGCCGGUGGAGGUGGAGGUGGAGGUGGAGGUGGAGGUGUAAAAACCUGAUGGAGUUGACGAAGUCUCAUGGAGGAGAGGAUGCGGCUGGAUUCUUCUUUUCUGUUUUUAGGUUUAGCUUUUUUUAUUUGGUUUAGUUUAAACCGAGUUGGAAUUGUAGUGGUUUGACUUUAGCUUUUAAUUUCUGGUUUAAUUUUGUAAACCGGAAUUUAUUUGUAAACCAAUCUUAAUUCAUAAAUAAAAUUUAUUUUAUUUUUAAUUAUAAAACAACUUUUGGUUUAAUUGUC
rnacentral:lncRNA from 1 species